UACGGAGGGUGCGAGCGUUGUCCGGAAUCAUUGGGCGUAAAGGGCGCGUAGGUGGCCCCUCAAGCGUGCGGUGAAAGUCCGGGGCUCAACCCCGGAUCUGCCGUGCCGACUGUCAAACUCGAGGACUGUAGAGGCAGACGGAAUUCCGGGUGUAGCGGUGGAAUGCGUAGAGAUCCGGAGGAAGACCGGUGGCGAAGGCGGUCUGCUGGGCAGUUUCUGACACUGAGGCGCGACAGCGUGGGGGAGCAAACAGGG
rnacentral:rRNA from 1 species